rnacentral:rRNA from 1 species
UAUCAAAAACAUACGUGAUCUGAGUUCAGACCGGGGGUGAAAGGUUUGACAAAAAAAACCCUGUCUCUAAAAUAUAUUUUUAAUUUUAAUUCUAGUUUAAAAUGCCUAGAUUUUUUAAAAAGACGAGAAGACCCCAUCGAGCUUGAUUAUAGAUUUUUAUUUAAAAAUUUAAAAGUUUUAUUGGGGCAAUAGGAAGAAAAAGUAAUCUCUUCUUUUUUAUAUAAUAAUCCAGCAUGGCUGAAUAAAGAAAAAGCUACCGUGGGGAUAACAGCGUAAUUUCUCUUUAAAGUUCUUAUUGAGGGGGAAGUUUGCGACCUCGAUGUUGAAUUAAAGUAACCUUUUGGAGUAGAAGCUAAAAUUGGUAAGACUGUUCGUCUUUUAAAACUUUACGUGAUCUGAGUUCAGACCGGAG